AAAUUUCAUGAAUAGUUUUUUUAAAUUUAAUUGCAAAUUUACGCUUUGAGUAUCAUUCAUUUUUUUUUGUAAUUGAAUAAUUUACGCAAAUGAAAGUCCAUGCUUUGAUGGCAGUCCUUAUUUUGGGGAUCAAUACACAGAUAUGGAUUUCUAAAGGCUCAGAUUCUUGUAAUAUGAAUCUAGAUGGGAAAACAUAUACUUUUUAUCCGGGAGAAACGAUUACACCCAUAACUCAAUGUAUCAGAUGCACAUGCAAUAAAGAUUAUCACUUUGGUUGUAUUGGAUGCGCACCAGGCAUUAGUAAUCCUAAAUGCAAAUCAGUGUCCAAACCACAUCUAGCUUAUCCUGGGUGUUGUCCCUAUUUUGUUUGUAAUUGAUAAUUUUAACGACUUUUAUCAAAUAUUAUCAAUGUAAUUGUGAAAUUUAAAUAUUUUAUCAUUAUAAAAAUAUAUAUAUUUUAAAAAAAAAAAAUUAUUAUAUUUGAUUGGUAUAAUGAAUUAUUAUUUAUAUUUAUUUAUAAUUUUUUUUUUCGGUCAUUGGUUACUUUAUUUGAAUAUUUACAGAUAUGUUAUGUUGUCAAAAUAACAUAGCAAAUAAUUAAUUUUUUAAAAAAGUAAAAUAAAUAAAGGUGAAAA